rnacentral:rRNA from 1 species
AGAGUUUGAUCCUGGCUCAGAAUUAACGCUAGCGGUAGGCAUAACACAUGCAAGUCGAGCGCCCUGCACAUUGCUUCUUUAUCCAAAGAGGUAACGUGCAGGGAGCGGCGAACGGCUGAGUAACACGUUGGUACCUGCCCCGAAGUGAGGGAUAACUACGAGAAAUCGUAGCUAAUACCGCAUAUGUCAGCAAUGACAAAGCUUUGGCGCUUCGGGAGGGACCUGCGUCGUAUCAUGCUUGUUGGUGAGGUAACUGCUCACCAAGGCUUUGACGCGUAGCUGGUGUGAGAGCACGACCAGCCAGAAUGGGACUGAGACACGGCCCAUACUCCUACGGGAGGCAGCAGUGAGGAAUCUUCCGCAAUGGGCGAAAGCCUGACGGAGCCAUACCGCGUGUAGGAUGACACCUUUCGGGGCGUAAACUACUUUUCUGAAGGAAGACAUUUUGACUGUACUUCAGGAAUAAGCGUCGGCUAACUACGUGCCAGCAGCCGCGGUAAUACGUAGGACGCAAGCGUUAUUCGGAAUCACUGGGCGUAAAGCGAUCGAAGGCUGUUUAGUAAGCGAGGUGUUAGAUACCCACGGCUCAACCGGGGUGCUGUACUUCGAACUGCUAAACUAGAGGAAUGUAGAGGUAGCUGGAAUUCUUGUUGUAGGGGUUAAAUCCGUAGAUAACAAGAGGAACACCAAAAGCGAAGGCAGGCUACUGGACAUUUUCUGACGCUGCGCGAUCGAAAGCGUGGGGAGCGAAAGGGAUUAGAUACCCCUGUAGUCCACGCCGUAAACGAUGGAUACUCGGCGUUCGCAAUUUCAAUGUUGUGAGUGCCUAAGCUAACGCGUUAAGUAUCCCGCCUGAGGAGUACGGCCGCAAGGCUAAAACUUAAAGGAAUAGACGGGGAUCCACACAAGCGGUGGAGCAUGUGGUUUAAUUCGAUAAUGCGCGGGGAACCUUACCAGGUCUUGACAUCCUUGGAAUCCUCUGGAAACAGAGAGGUGCCUUCGGGAACCAAGUGACAGGUGUUGCAUGGUUGUCGUCAGCUCGUGCCUUGAGGUGUUCGGUUAAGUCCGUUAACGAGCGCAACCCUCGCUGUAUGUUGUAUUUUUCAUACAGGACUGCCCGGUUGAACCGGGAGGAAGGUGAGGAUGACGUCAAAUCAGCAUGGCCCUUAUGACCUGGGCUACACACAUGCUACAAUGGCCAGUACAAAGGGCAGCGAAAUCGCAAGAUGAAGCCAAUCCCACAAAGCUGGUCUAAGUUCGGAUUGAGAGCUGCAACUCGCUCUCAUGAAGUUGGAAUCGCUAGUAACCGUAAAUCAGCUACGUUACGGUGAAUAUGUUCCUGGAUCUUGUACUCACCGCCCGUCAAGUCAUGAAAGGCAGGGGCACCCGAAUUCGCGUUAUCCGUUUCGGCGGAGCGUGCCUAAGGUGAAACUGCUGAUUGGGACUAAGUCGUAACAAGGUAACC